rnacentral:lncRNA from 1 species
UGAUUUUCACGGUCAAAAUCUUUACUAAGAGGUACAUCAUAUGCACAUGCAUGCAUUACAUGGAAUUGAUUUUUUGAAGGAUGGUGUCUAAAAUAAAGAUUGAGUAUUUUUGAUAAAAUAAAUGUGUGAUUUUGAAUUUAGUCUUGCUUAUGUAUAAUGUUCAUGGAUAUUUAGAAGUUUUCUUACAAUUUCAUACCUUGUUGAACUCAAAAAUAUUUUUGAAUUUUGUGAGUAUAUUCACUACAAACCCUCACGAGACACAACUCAUCCACUUGGGGUUUAAAGGCUUGUUGCACAUGCUAAG